GAGGAUUGGCCGAGUGGUUGAAGGCGGCAGUCUUGAAAACUGUUGAGCCGAAAGGUUCCGUGGGUUCGAAUCCUACAUCCUCC
rnacentral:tRNA from 1 species